rnacentral:snRNA from 1 species
GUCUUUGCACUGUGGCAGUAUCGUAGCCAAUGAGGUUUAACUCAUUGCUAGUUGAAAACUUAACCCAAUACCCAUUUGGCUUUGGCAGUUUUUGAUGGUCUCUUUUGAGG